rnacentral:rRNA from 1 species
UACGGAGGGUGCAAGCGUUAUCCGGAUUCACUGGGUUUAAAGGGUGCGUAGGAGGGUAGGUAAGUCAGUGGUGAAAUCUUCGAGCUUAACUCGGAACUGCCGUUGAUACUAUCUAUCUUGAAUACCGUGGAGGUGAGCGGAAUAUGUCAUGUAGCGGUGAAAUGCUUAGAUAUGACAUAGAACACCAAUUGCGAAGGCAGCUCGCUACACGAAUAUUGACUCUGAGGCACGAAAGCGUGGGGAUCAAACAGG